rnacentral:precursor_RNA from 1 species
UGCCGGGCCACCAGAGAACUUGUCAUUGAUAUGUGGCAUUCUCUGGUGGCCUAGCAGG